rnacentral:ncRNA from 1 species
ACUGCCAUCAAAACUCCGAGCGACUCUCUUCUAAGUCAUGAAGACAUAACGGAAUCGUCCAUGAUAAGAGGGUGUCGCCAGUGACCGGCCUGUGCUGGUUUCACUCAGGGUGAGUUCAGAAAUGAGCUGGCCUCCCGUAUUUGGAAAGGUGUUCCGUGGCGAAACAA